rnacentral:rRNA from 1 species
AGAGUUUGAUCCUGGCUCAGGACGAACGCUGGCGGCGUGCCUAAUACAUGCAAGUCGAACGAAGCUUUCUUUCACCGAAUGCUUACAUUCACCGAAAGAAGCUUAGUGGCGAACGGGUGAGUAACACGUAGGCAACCUGCCCAAAAGAGGGGGAUAACACUUGGAAACAGGUGCUAAUACCGCAUAACCAUGAACACCGCAUGAUGUUCAUGUAAAAGACGGCUUUUGCUGUCACUUUUGGAUGGGCCUGCGGCGUAUUAACUUGUUGGUGGGGUAACGGCCUACCAAGGUGAUGAUACGUAGCCGAACUGAGAGGUUGAUCGGCCACAUUGGGACUGAGACACGGCCCAAACUCCUACGGGAGGCAGCAGUAGGGAAUCUUCCACAAUGGACGAAAGUCUGAUGGAGCAACGCCGCGUGAAUGAAGAAGGCCUUCGGGUCGUAAAAUUCUGUUGUCAGAGAAGAACGUGCGUGAGAGUAACUGUUCACGUAUUGACGGUAUCUGACCAGAAAGCCACGGCUAACUACGUGCCAGCAGCCGCGGUAAUACGUAGGUGGCGAGCGUUGUCCGGAUUUAUUGGGCGUAAAGGGAACGCAGGCGGUCUUUUAAGUCUGAUGUGAAAGCCUUCGGCUUAACCGGAGUAGUGCAUUGGAAACUGGAAGACUUGAGUGCAGAAGAGGAGAGCGGAACUCCAUGUGUAGCGGUGAAAUGCGUAGAUAUAUGGAAGAACACCAGUGGCGAAAGCGGCUCUCUGGUCUGUAACUGACGCUGAGGUUCGAAAGCGUGGGUAGCAAACAGGAUUAGAUACCCUGGUAGUCCACGCCGUAAACGAUGAGUGCUAAGUGUUGGAGGGUUUCCGCCCUUCAGUGCUGCAGCUAACGCAUUAAGCACUCCGCCUGGGGAGUACGGUCGCAAGACUGAAACUCAAAGGAAUUGACGGGGGCCCGCACAAGCGGUGGAGCAUGUGGUUUAAUUCGAAGCAACGCGAAGAACCUUACCAGGUCUUGACAUCUUCUGACAAUUCCAGAGAUGGAACGUUCCCUUCGGGGACAGAAUGACAGGUGGUGCAUGGUUGUCGUCAGCUCGUGUCGUGAGAUGUUGGGUUAAGUCCCGCAACGAGCGCAACCCUUAUUGUCAGUUGCCAUCAUUAAGUUGGGCACUCUGGCGAGACUGCCGGUGACAAACCGGAGGAAGGUGGGGAUGACGUCAAAUUAUCAUGCCCCUUAUGCUUAGGGCUACACACGUGCUACAAUGGGUGGUACAGAGGGCAGCGAAGUCGUGAGGCCAAGCUAAUCCCUUAAAGCCAUUCUCAGUUCGGAUUGUAGGCUGAAACUCGCCUACAUAAAGCUGGAGUUACUAGUAAUCGCAGAUCAGAAUGCUGCGGUGAAUGCGUUCCCGGGUCUUGUACACACCGCCCGUCACACCAUGGGAGUUGGGGGCGCCCGAAGCCGGCUAGCUAACCUUUUGGAAGCGGUCGUCGAAGGUGAAACCAAUAACUGGGGUGAAGUCGUAACAAGGUA